rnacentral:rRNA from 1 species
UACAGAGGUCUCAAGCGUUGUUCGGAUUCAUUGGGCGUAAAGGGUGUGUAGGUGGCGCCGUAAGUCGGGUGUGAAAUUUCGGAGCUUAACUCCGAAACUGCAUUCGAUACUGCGGUGCUUGAGGACUGGAGAGGAGACUGGAAUUCAUGGUGUAGCAGUGAAAUGUGUAGAGAUCAUGAGGAAGACCAGUGGCGAAGGCGGGUCUCUGGACAGUUCCUGACACUGAGACACGAAGGCCAGGGGAGCAAACAGG